UAUGUGAUCGUCUCUCGCAUAUCAAUAAGCGGAGGAAAAGAAACUAACAAGGAUUCCCCUAGUAACGGCGAGUGAAGCGGGAAGAGCUCAAAUUUGAAAUCUUAAAGGGUUUCCCUUUACGAAUUGUAGUUUAAAGAAGUGUUUUCUGUUGAGGUUUUGGUAAAAGUUCUUUGGAAUAGGACAUCAUAGAGGGUGAGAAUCCCGUAUUUGACCUUUACUUUCAACUUUGUGAUACACUUUCAAAGAGGUCGGAUUGUUUGGGGAUGCAGUCCAAAAUGGGUGGUAAAUUUCAUCUAAAGCUAAAUAUUGGCGAGAGACCGAUAGCGAACAAGUACCGUGAGGGAAAGAUGAAAAGAACUUUGAAAAGAGAGUUAAACAGUACGUGAAAUUGUCAAAAGGGAAGCGUUUGACACCAGUGUUGUUUUUCUGAAAAUCAAUUAAAGAACUGUUUAUGCUAAGUUGUUUAGACUUUAUCAGCUAACUGUUUAGUUUUGAGCUUUUCUUUAAUGCACUUUUCAGUUAACAAGUCAACAUCAAUUUCUUUUGCUGUAAAAAAGCUUGAGGAAGGUGGCUUGAGAUUCGUCUUAAGUGUUUAUAGCCUCUUGCCUAUGCAGUCGGAGAGAUUGAGGUCUGCAGCGUAGAUCCUUCGGGGCUAAAUGCAUUUGUGCUAAGUUAUAGCAUUUUAUAGACAACUUGUUGACUAUGAUUUGUCUUGUAGCUUACUCGCUUAUGUUAUUUUACCUACGCUUAGGAUGUUGAGUAGCGACAUACGCAC
rnacentral:rRNA from 1 species